AGAAAAAUGAGUUGGAAGAAACUGGGCUGGAGAGAGACAGGAUGCUGAUUGCUGUCUUGUGGGCAACUGUUUGCUAUGAAGGCAUUUCCUGGCCCCAGGUGGGCACUUUUCUGGCCCCAUUGUGUGUAUUGUGAGGGUGUAGAUGGUCGGGGUCUGGGGCGCAAGUGAGCCUAGGUGACUGUGGGGUCCCAGGAGUAGAUCUUCCGGGCUCCCUCCUGGAGACCCCAGGGCGGGGCGGUUCUAGGCCUUGACUGACAGCUCAGUGCCGCUCAGCACGAGGCUCCUGAUUCCAAGGCGACCAAAAUGCCAGACGUGACUCAGGACGCUGGAGUGUGCCUGCCCUCGGGAUCCAGGAGGGCAAUGGGCAGGAAGGGGCUGCAAGGAGGGGUUAGGCCGGAGUGGAGUCCCUCUUCACCCCUCAGAUGAACAACCGUCCUGGUUUGUCUGGGACUGAAGGUAUCUCAGACACAGGAAUUCUACUGCUAAAACAGGGGAAAUCCUGAAUAUCACCGCCCCAUCCCAGACAGUACCCACAGUUGCACUCUGGGCUGCCAGCCUGUCAUGCUCUGUGUCAUAGCUUUGUAACCACCAUUGAUUGAGAACCAGCUCUCUGCCCUGUGCAUUCAGGAAAUCUUCCGCCCAGCAGGCCUAUUGAAGAGACAAAAAGAGGAGACCGUCCAGGACAGUCCAGUCUGGUGUGAACAGUCAAUAUUCUUCCCUACAAUAUCUCUGCCCUGAUGUGGACAUCCAUACAUACAGGCCAAUGACUCAGAGGAGGGCGCGAGAAGCUUUCAGGCUGUUUGGGGAGACCAGAAUUGCCCCCAUGGCCUGUCAGAGAGCAGCUGAGGCCUGAAGGGGGCAAGGACUGGGGGUGGGGCUCAGCCUCCUGGCCCAGAGGAGUGAGGUCAGUGUGGGUGGGCAGUCAGAGGAAGUGUCCUGGAGGAGAUGGGGUAGUGAGGAGAGCCUGAGGUCACUCUGCCCUCGCACAGGGCUGGGGAAGUGUUUGGGAAUGUCUAGGCCAGGGAGUGGUGGGAGCUGCACGUGGAGGAUGGAAGGUAAAAGGGAGGAGGCCAGUGGUAGUGGGAUCAGCAUGGUCCCAGCUGGGACGAGGAUGCCUGUCCCAGGGCAGUGGCAUUGGGGAUGGGGGCUGUGAAGUUUGGUGGGGGUGUGGGGUUGUAGCCAGUGUCAGAGGAAGGGACGUAAGGAGGAACCAGUUUGAAAAGGAGCAUUCAUAGUUUGUUCCCAUUAACUCUCAGGAACCACCAGAAUGUAGGGAGAGAUGCACCCAGUAAGCAGAAGCUGAUGAACUUGGGACAGGAUGGAGUAGCGGGUCCCUAGAGCUCGAGUGAAGCUGACAGGAUAGGGGAAACUGGCCCAGGGAGAGUGGUCAGCUGGAAGAAGCUGUCCUAGCCCAGGGAGCGGCAGCAGGGCUGGUGCAGAUGGAGAAGCUGUCCUGGGUGAGAGGAGAGAGUCACGGAAUGCUGGCGUCUAGAAGAGGAGCUGUGCUCUUUCAAUCAGAUCAAGUCCAGUCUCCCCCGCAUGAUGGAG
ensembl:lncRNA